CGCCGCCCGCCCGGCCCGGGGCUGCUGCGCGCUCCUGGGGGCGGUCGCUGCCGGGUGCCCCCUCCCGCCAACGCACCCGGGCGCUGGUCAGCGCCUUUGGCAACUCUUGCUAAUGCCUUGACCUUCAGUCCUUACUCCUUCCUGUGCUGCCUCGUUCACAGAACGGGUACUUGGCGUAAUGGAUGCACUAGCCAAAGCACCGCAUUGAAGUUGCAACUGAAGGCCAAGAAAACGAUCUGUUUUGCAACUCGACACGAGUGACGGACCAGGCUGCAAUGUUGGGCCGCCCUGAAACAACAAAGAUGAAAAAAAAAAACACAGGGGAUUCCUCAGGGAAGGAGAUGUGGCUCCUCUCCAUCGCCACUGAUGUUGCCUUGCAUCAUUCCGUACUGUAAAGCCAGAAGAAACUACUGUGUUCCUCUGGUCACUCGUGGAGGUACAAC